CCUACGGGUGGCAGCAGUGGGGAAUAUUUCACAAUGGGCGAAAGCCUGAUGCAGCAACGCCGCGUGAAGGAAGACGGUUUUCGGAUUGUAAACUUCUAUCAAUAGGGAAGAAAGAAAUGACGGUACCUAAAUAAGAUGCCCCGGCUAACUACGUUCCAGCAGCCGCGGUAAUACGCAGGGGGCAAGCGUUAUCCGGAAUUACUGGGUGUAAGGGGAGAGUAGGCGGCAAGGUACGCGAUAUGUGAAAGCCUUAAGCUUAACUAAAGGAUUGCAUAACGAACUAUCUAGCUAGAGUACAGGAGAGGAAAGCGGAAUUCCUAGUGUAGCGGUGAAAUGCGUAGAUAUUAGGAAGAACACCAGUGGCGAUGGCGGCUUUCUGGACUGAAACUGACGCUGAGGCUCGAAAGCGUGGGGAGCGAACAGGAUUAGAUACCCGUGUAGUC
rnacentral:rRNA from 1 species